rnacentral:rRNA from 1 species
UGCAGUCGACGGUGAUGGUGGAGCUUGCUCCGCCGGAUCAGUGGCGAACGGGUGAGUAACACGUGGGCAACCUGCCCCAGACUCUGGGAUAACUCCUCGAAAGAGGCGCUAAUACCGGAUACGAACUCCUUGGGCAUCCUCGGAGUUGGAAAGUUUUUCGGUCUGGGAUGGGCCCGCGGCCUAUCAGCUUGUUGGUGAGGUAACGGCUCACCAAGGCGACGACGGGUAGCCGGCCUGAGAGGGCGACCGGCCACACUGGGACUGAGACACGGCCCAGACUCCUACGGGAGGCAGCAGUGGGGAAUAUUGCGCAAUGGGCGAAAGCCUGACGCAGCAACGCCGCGUGAGGGAUGAAGGCCUUCGGGUUGUAAACCUCUUUCAGCAGGGAAGAAGCGAAAGUGACGGUACCUGCAGAAGAAGCACCGGCUAACUACGUGCCAGCAGCCGCGGUAAUACGUAGGGUGCAAGCGUUGUCCGGAUUUAUUGGGCGUAAAGAGCUCGUAGGCGGUUAGUCACGUCGGAUGUGAAAUCCCAGGGCUUAACCCUGGGCCUGCAUUCGAUACGGGCUGACUAGAGUGUUGUAGGGGAGACUGGAACUCCUGGUGUAGCGGUGAAAUGCGCAGAUAUCAGGAAGAACACCGGUGGCGAAGGCGGGUCUCUGGGCAACUACUGACGCUGAGGAGCGAAAGCGUGGGGAGCAAACAGGAUUAGAUACCCUGGUAGUCCACGCCGUAAACGGUGGGCGCUAGGUGUGGGGACCAUUCCACG